AACGAACGCUGGCGGCAUGCCUAACACAUGCAAGUCGAACGAGACCUUCGGGUCUAGUGGCGCACGGGUGCGUAACGCGUGGGAACCUGCCCUUAGGUUCGGAAUAACUCCCCGAAAGGGGUGCUAAUACCGGAUAAUGUCUUAGGACCAAAGAUUUAUCGCUGUUGGAUGGGCCCGCGUUGGAUUAGCUAGUUGGUAGGGUAAAAGCCUACCAAGGCGUCGAUGGGUAGCUGGUCUGUGAGGAUGAUCGGCCACAUUGGGACUGAGAUACGGCCCAGACUCCUACAGGAGGAAGCGGUGGGGGAUAUUGUACAAUGGGCGGAAGCCUGAUGCAGCAACGCCGCGUGCGGGAUGAAGGCCUUAGGGUUGUAAACCGAUUUUGCCUGUGACGAAGAGUGAGUGACGGUAAUGGGUAAAGAAGCACCGGCUAACUACGUG
rnacentral:rRNA from 1 species